CGCAACAAUGACAGAAUUAAGAAAACCAUCAAAAUAGUAUGAUACUCCGUAUAAUAUUGGAAGAGUCAACUCGAACGCUUAUAGCUGAUCUGAACUGAACUGCACGAGGCAUUGUAAAAUGUGUACACAAGAUUUUUGUAUUUCUUGAAAUGACAUAUUAUCUUCUAUUAUUAUUGUCAUAAAUGAUAUAGUUAUUGUUGUCAUAAAUUGUUGUCAUAAAUAGUAUAAUUAUUGAAUAUACUUAUAUAAAUAGUGUUGCAUUGAUUUUUGACAGGCUGAUAAUUUUAUACAAGCUAAAGACGACCAUUUUUUAAAUAUAAUUUUACUUUAGUGCUCUACCAACAAUCAUAAAUUUACUUUAUCUACAAUAAAAUAUGGUUUUAACUUAAAGUAAACUUUUGUCAUUUAAACUUUACUAUGUUGAUCAUUACCUAAUAGUGUAAAAAAAAAAUUAGUACGUCGCAAUCAAGGAUCAGUGUCAAGUAAUGUGUUUUGCAUACUUAUGUAUUUUUUGGGUGUUCUGUGUAUUAAAA